rnacentral:misc_RNA from 1 species
GCGGACCUCGACCAGAAACUGACCAACUUAUGGCAGAAGGAAAAGCCCUUCUUCACGGAUUAAUACCUUCUCCAAGACUGUGGCGGGCCAUUCAGUGGCGACGCUAUCCCGUGAUUAGUGCUAAGAUUAACAAUUUGUACUGUAGGGAGAAAAUCAAUGCUAUAUUUUACACAGACUCAUAAAAUAAUCCGCAGAAAAAUCCUGUACAAAUUUCAUUUUGUCCUUACUCGUAGGAAUGCAAUAAAGAAAUUGGAAUCUC